AUGGGAAGGAAUCAAGGGUUGGCGAGGUCAUCAUUGUCCUUUUUCUGGAAUGCUGGAUUGAAGAAUAAGGGCAUCGACUGGAAAAUAGAAACCUCGAGCUCAGACAGUGGACCACCAUGCGGCAGAGGCACCUCUCAGGGCGUCAGUUUGGACCUGGAGCACACCAGGCUGUCCAGACACCUGGACUUUGCUCAAUCUUUGGCAUUGAAAUAUUUGAAAGUAGUUCACUCAAGGCCAGGAAAUAAGGAGGACUCUGGGAGCUCGGCAGAAAUCAGGAAAUGCUGCACGGAAUGGACACUGUGAGCUGGCCCUUGGAAGAUGCCCAGGAUGGGACAGGACCAGACGUGCUUCAGGCAACAGUGAACAAAGAAUACAGUAGAGAACACAGGGCAGGUGGUCUGGCUUGGCUGAGAGCAGGUCAUCUGAAGUGUGACAGAAAGAGAAGGCUUGGAAGAAGAGUUGUGAAUUAACUAUAGAAAGCCUUCAAGUAUCAUGAAAGAAACUUGGACUUCAUGCUGUAGGUAAUGUGGUGGGACUGAACACAUAUUGAGCAGGGGAGGCACAUGAUGGGCUGGGAGGGGAGAAGCCUGGACACACUUAAGGCUCUGAGAAGUGAGGGACAGGAGUGGGGACUGGGGGAGGGGAAUAUUUUCAGAAGGUGGGCCCCAAUGAGCAGCAUAUUCUGAUGAGAUGAAACACACUGGAAAUCAAUGCAUCAUCAUGAAUAAAACGUCUCUAAAGCUACAUUUUACCUUUUAGCAGAUCAAAAGAUGCAAUUUUCAGAAAAUGAAUAAUAAAUGGGCCUGCCACUCUACGAUGAAUAUAUUCUUGCAGUUUUAAGAAACCUUUAAGUGGAGUUCCCAUCGUGGUGCAGUGAUUAACAAAUCCGACUAGGAACCAUGAGGUUGCAGGUUCAAUCCCUGGCCUUGCUCAGUGGGUUAAGGAUCCAGCAUUGCUGUGAGCUGUGGUGUAGGUUGAAGACGCGGCUCAGAUCCCGUGUUGCUGUGGCUCUGGCGUAGGCUGGCAGCAGCUCUGAUUAGACCCCUAGCCUGGCAACCUCUACAUGCCGCAGGUGCGGCCCUUAGAAAAGGCAAAAAGACAAAAAAAAAAAAAAAAAAAAAAAGAAAGAAACCUUUAAGUUCAAAUACACUUUUUUCUCUCUCAUUUAAACAUUUCUAAAGAAAAAUGGUUUCCCUAUGUUUUUAAGUAAUUGACAAAUUAUUUCACAAACAGAACAUAAUGUGUAUUUGCACAUGUAUUUCAAUCUCACAAAUAUAUUAAGGGGGAAAUACUGAAGUGGAAACUAUGAAAGUCUAUUUUGGUAAGCAUGAUAGUCUUUGGUUGCAAACACUCUUUGAAGAUUUUUUAAAAAUAAAAACUACAGCCAUCCCUUGUUUCUAAGAAUGUGUUACAGUCUUGAAAAUAGACACAAUAAAACUUCAACUCUAUAUUUAUCCCAGAACUCCUCUUUAUUUCUGCUCAAACUUAUCUUCUAAAGUGUCUCACUGGAGAUUCCAAAGGGAAGGAACACUUAGUGUCCUAAAAACAAGUCCUCAGGGAAUAAAAUAAUUUUUACGCUGGCCCACUUUUUUUAUUUUUAAUUUAUUUUUUAUUGUUAUUUCCCC
rnacentral:lncRNA from 9 species